AAUGGGCGCAAGCCUGAUCCAGCAAUGCCGCGUGGGUGAAGACGGCCUGCGGGUUGUAAAGCCCUUUAGGCGGGGAGGAACGGCGUCGUGCGAACAGUGCGGCGUUCUGACGUUACCCGCAGAAUAAGCACCGGCUAACUCCGUGCCAGCAGCCGCGGUAAUACGGAGGGUGCGAGCGUUAAUCGGAAUUACUGGGCGUAAAGCGUGUGUAGGCGGUAAAGUCAGUCAGCCGUGAAAGCCCUGGGCUUAACCUGGGAACGGCGGUUGAGACGGCUUAACUCGAGUGGGCUAGAGGAUCGUGGAAUUCCGGGUGUAGCGGUGAAAUGCGUAGAGAUCCGGAGGAACACCGAUGGCGAAGGCAGCGGUCUGGGGCCACACUGACGCUGAGACACGAAAGCGUGGGGAGCAAA
rnacentral:rRNA from 1 species